rnacentral:rRNA from 1 species
AUGGCUCGAGGACGAACGCUGGCGGCGUGCUUAAUACAUGCAAGUCGAGCGAGGUUAUCUUUCAAAGUCCUUCGGGACGGCGAAUUUUAACCUAGCGGCGGACGGGUGAGUAACGCGUGGGGUAACCCUGCCCCUAAAGCCCGGGAUAACAUGGGAAACUGCUGCUAAUACCGGAUAGCUUUAUCUGGAGGCAUCUUCGGAUAAGGAAAAAAUUUAUUGCUUUAGGAUGGGCCCGCGUCCCAUUAGCUAGUUGGUGAGGUAACGGCCCACCAAGGCGACGAUGGGUAGCCGGCCUGAGAGGGUGAACGGCCACACUGGGACUGAGACACGGCCCAGACUCCUACGGGAGGCAGCAGUAGGGAAUAUUGCGCAAUGGAGGGAACUCUGACGCAGCGAACCGCAGCGUGAGCGAUGAAGGUUUUCGGAUCGUAAAGCUCUGUCCUUGGGGAAGAAGGCGGCCAUUUUUGGCCACUUGACGGUACCCAAGGAGGAAGCCCCGGCUAACUACGUGCCAGCCGCAGC